rnacentral:tRNA from 1 species
GCCCUCGUAGCCCAACGGCAGAGGCACCAGUCCGAGAUGCUGGUUCGUGCGCGUUCGAAUCGCGCCGAGGGCAC